rnacentral:lncRNA from 1 species
CUGUCACGCCCCAGGACCCUGCGGGAGCCCGCCCGGCGCGUGCCCAGACCCGCCAUACGUCUAAAACGUAUAAGGCGUCUAAAAACAACAAUAAAUGAAGCAAUAAUAAAAGAUAUCUAGGAGUAUCAGAGCAUAAUGAAUGUCUAAAUGCUACAACAAGGGAUAAGGAUAAAACUGUAAAUCCACUAAAUAAAACAUAAAGUGAUCCAAGGAAAAUCCCAAAUACAAGUGCUAUAGGUAGAUACAUAGGUGGUCUCUAUACAUGGAUACAAAAACUCUCACUCUCUCAACUACAAAAAGAAAGUGUAAACCACCUAGGCAAAGUACCGCUCCCCGCUAGCUAGCUAAGCGAUCCCCUUGCCGCCAUCCCGUGCCUCCGCCGAUGCCGAAGGCUCUGAAAAGUAAACCAUAAAACAGGGACGUGAGAAUUAUUAAAAAAUAGUUCCCAGUGGGCAAUUACUGACUUCAGUGAAUGCACCACAAGGCCCAAAGCUAUAAAAGAGGUCAGUGACUAUAAAAGUAGAAAAGCGAAAAGUAAGUAAAAAUGUAACUUACUACAAUAUGAUAUCUCUACUUAGCAUAAUUAACAUAAGUACGAAGCAACUAUGCAUGAAGUAAAAGUCUCCAACUAUCAUAAUGUUCACAAUGCGAAAUAGUAAAGUGCCGAUGUUUACCAUUCUAGUCAAUGUCCAAGUAAUACACUAAGUCAUCAUCUGUCCACAUGUCAUAAUGAACACUCAAAGUCAAAUCUGAAGAGACCCACCCGAAGGCUGUCUAUGGCCCUGAGACCCACCCGUAGGCUGUCUGGCCGGUGCCGAGCCUAAUGGCCCCGUGGUAGUCAUCAUCCCCACCCUAGGAAUGAGCCUGUCCCACGGCAAUCCACUUCGGCGCCCAAUCCCGCACGGCGAAUAUGAAUCGCGAUGGCUAUCUCCGGAGUGCCGGCUUGUAGGGAGCGACCCUCACAAGCAUGUGCGAAUGAGCACAAUGGCAAGUAGUCAAACGAUCUGUCGCAAGUACCAAGUCCUCAUGUCUAAUAACAUGGAAUGUGUCAAGUAUCUCAAUGGCCUAUCCCUAUGUCAUCAUGUCUCUAACAUGGAAUAUAGCAGAUAUGGAGUGGCCUAUCAAUAUGUCUCUAUGUUGUAGUUUCAUAGUUUACUAGUCUCAAGUGCCCCUUGAUGACACUCUUGUUCUCUAUGUCAAAGCAUGGCAACUAUGUUCCAAAGUACAUAUUCCAAGUCAUAAUCCUCAUAAGAGAUGUAUUUUCCACUUGCAAAAUAAACACUUUUCCCAUAUGCAUGCAUUCUACUCAUAUAGCUCUACCAUAUAGUGAAAUUUUCAUAAUACACAAGGCAUGCAUUUUAAGUGCUCUAAAAUUCAUAUAAAUCCCAUUUAGCAUAGAAAUGAAUUUAAAAAUAUUUUACAACAAGUAGAAAGAGCAUAGGGGCCAUUUCGCCCCAUUUCCCCGAAGCCAAACCCACCGUCAUCAACGAAAGAUUUCGUUUGCCACGACGAAGGCGUCCACCACUCUCUUAGUACCCUAAAGGUAUGAGAACAUGUGUCAUCUAGUCGAAACGAACGACGCUAAGUUCAAUCUUUAAGCUAUUCAAGCAUAGGUGGAGGAAAACUCACCUCUAGUGCAAAAUCUCCUCUAAAGCUC